rnacentral:rRNA from 1 species
UACAUGCAAGUCGAACGAAGCUUUCUUUCAUCGAAUGCUUGCAUUCACCGAAAGAAGUUUAGUGGCGAACGGGUGAGUAACACGUAGGCAACCUGCCCAAAAGAGGGGGAUAACACUUGGAAACAGGUGCUAAUACCGCAUAACCAUGAACACCGCAUGAUGUUCAUGUGAAAGACGGCUUUUGCUGUCACUUUUGGAUGGGCCUGCGGCGUAUUUAACUUGUUGGUGGGGUAACGGCCUGCCCUACCAAGGGUGAUGAUACGUACCCAACUGAGGAGAGGUUGAUCGGCCACAUUGGGACUGAGACACGGCCCAAACUCCUACGGGAGGCAGCAGUAGGGAAUCUUCCACAAUGGACGAAAGUCUGAUGGAGCAACGCCGCGUGAAUGAAGAAGGCCUUCGGGUCGUAAAAUUCUGUUGUCAGAGAAGAACGUGCGUGAGAGUAACUGUUCACGUAUUGACGGUAUCUGACCAGAAAGCCACGGCUAACUACGUGCCAGCAGCCGCGGUAAUACGUAGGUGGCGAGCGUUGUCCGGAUUUAUUGGGCGUAAAGGGAACGCAGGCGGUCUUUUAAGUCUGAUGUGAAAGCCUUCGGCUUAACCGAAGUAGUGCAUUGGAAACUGGAAGACUUGAGUGCAGAAGAGGAGAGUGGAACUCCAUGUGUAGCGGUGAAAUGCGUAGAUAUAUGGAAGAACACCAGUGGCGAAAGCGGCUCUCUGGUCUGUAACUGACGCUGAGGUUCGAAAGCGUGGGUAGCAAACAGGAUUAGAUACCCUGGUAGUCCACGCCGUAAACGAUGAGUGCUAAGUGUUGGAGGGUUUCCGCCCUUCAGUGCUGCAGCUAACGCAUUAAGCACUCCGCCUGGGGAGUACGGUCGC